GAUCAUGGCUCAGAUUGAACGCUGGCGGCAUGCUUUACACAUGCAAGUCGAACGGCAGCACGGGCUUCGGCCUGGUGGCGAGUGGCGAACGGGUGAGUAAUGCAUCGGAACGUGCCCAUGUUGUGGGGGAUAACUACGCGAAAGCGUGGCUAAUACCGCAUACGCCCUGAGGGGGAAAGCGGGGGAUUCUUCGGAACCUCGCGCAAUUGGAGCGGCCGAUGUCAGAUUAGCUUGUUGGUGAGGUAAAGGCUCACCAAGGCGACGAUCCAUAGCUGGUCUGAGAGGAUGAUCAGCCACACUGGGACUGAGACACGGCCCUGACUCCUACGGGAGGCAGCAGUGGGGAAUAUUGGACAAUGGGCGAAAGCCUGAUCCAGCAAUGCCGCGUGAGUGAUGAAGGCCUUAGGGUUGUAAAGCUCUUUUACCCGGGAUGAUAAUGACAGUACCGGGAGAAUAAGCUCCGGCUAACUUCGUG
rnacentral:rRNA from 1 species